AACCUGGUGACUCGUUAAAUAUCACAUGCAGCUACCAUGACAAAAAGUAUGACAAAAUAUACUGGUAUCAGCAUGUUAACCAGCAAAGUCUCCAGCUAAUUAGGGAUUCCUGAACUUCAAGAGUCCUGAAAUAGACAAAAAUGGGUUCAACAUUUCAGGAGAUGCAGAGAAGGAAGGUUAUCUCUCGGCACAGUCUGUGACAGCAGACUACAGUGCUUUGUAUUUCUGUGCAGUGAGUAACACAGUGCUAAAUAAACACUAAACCAUGCACUGAAAUCCCCCCCUUUGUCAUGUGACAACGUCCUGUGUCAUAUCAUGAUUCAUUUACACCUGUACUAAGGAUAUACAGAAGAUAUACUAUCAAAAGGCAGGUGGAGUCGGUGAUAUUUGAUACGUUCACAAAAAAUUAGUUAAAAACAUGAGUAUAGCCUAGAUAGAAUGAGGAACACUUGACAAAAUGGCAACAAUUAUAGUCUCAAGUAUCAUUCUUCUCAGUCUUAAAGCCACAGUUAUCUCUUCCCUCAACAUCCAGCAAUUACCACAAAAUCUAUUAAUAACACCUGAUCAGAGGGAAGUGAAGCUCAGCUGCCAACAUGGUGAUAGCAACUAUAUGUUCAUGUACUGGUAUCAGCAAAAAACAGUCAGUGACUCCAUUGAGCUCAUUGGAAUGCUUCAGUACCAACGAUUUACUCCUGAGGAGAAGUUUAAACCACGAUUCAACGUUUCAGGACACGCCACAGGGGAUGCAUUUCUGCUUAUAUCCAGUGUAACUCCUGAGGACAGUGCAGUAUAUUUCUGUGCUGCUAGUAAGCACAGUCACACACCUUCCCUUUCUGUUUAACAAAAAGCUUCACACCAAACACCUGCAAAUAAGAUCUGUUCUCUGAUUACUGCUGUUUGUAAUAGCAUUUAAUGUAGGAAGUGUGCAG